GGCGAGGUGGCCGAGUGGUUAAGGCGACAGACUAGAAUGUACUGUCCUUCAGUCACUCUAACGCCAUCUGUUGGGUUCGCCCGCGUAGGUUCAAAUCCUGCCCUCGUCG
rnacentral:tRNA from 1 species